CUACGGGUUGCAGCAGGCGCGGAACCUUUACAAUGCACGAAAGUGUGAUAAGGGGAUCCCAAGUGCCUUGCUUUUAGCAAGGCUUUUGCCAUAUGUAAAAAGUAUGGCGAAUAAGUGGUGGGUAAGACUUGUGCCAGCCGCCGCGGUAACACCAGCGCCACAAGUGGCAACCGCUUUUAUUGGGCCUAAAGCGUCCGUAGCCGGUUCAGUAAAUUUUCUGUGAAAUCGUUGGGCUUAACCUAACGUCGUGCAGGAAAGACUACUGGACUAGGGACCGGGAGGCGUCAGAGGUAUUCCUGAGGGAGCGGUAAAAUGCUAUAAUCUCAGGAGGACCCCCUGUGGCGAAAGCGUCUGACGAGAACGGAUCCGACGGUCAGGGACGAAAGCUAAGGGAGCAAACCGGAUUAGAUACCCCGGUAGUC
rnacentral:rRNA from 1 species